UCAAUCUGCAGUAACUCCUCUUAUUCUUAUAGGAUCACCAACUGAACAUGGCAGAAUAUCACGUUCCCAUGUCUGCAGGAGGUGUGGCAAACAUAUUUCAUCUGUUGGAAACAAACAAACAAAUGUUCAACAUCAGGCACUUCUCAGUGAGCCAAACAACUCUAGAAGAGGUUUUUAUCAACUUUGCGAAAGCUCAGACCGGUCCUGAUAUUUUGGAUACAAGAUCAGACACGGGGUCAGAGAGCUCUGACCUCAGCAGUCAAGAUGCUAACAUAAUUGCGAUCUGCUAAGCCUUUGGAAUGGAGGUUUCCCAUUGUUGAACUGAAGUUUUAUAUAUAUAUUUCAAGAGAGUUUAUGUAUUCAUUUUGUAAUGUUUAAUACUAUAGCCCUGAAUAGAGGCUUUUCAACUUAUACCAAAUUGAUCUACUACCCAUUUCUUAACUUUUGGCGUAGAUGCUCAUUAAUUGUGUAUGUGUACGCAAAGAUGUACUUGCCUCUAGCAAGGUGGCCUUGUGUGCUUGGGAAGUUACUCAAUUCCAUGCAGUCCAUGAGAACCUUAUACCAUGGAAAAGAACUGCCACUAUGAAAUAAGCUAAAGUUUGCAACAUGUAUGGGUUACAUCAGUAUUAAAUGAAAUUAAAUAAAAUUAUUUUAAAGACAAG
rnacentral:lncRNA from 11 species